CAGGAAAUUUUAGCUUAAUUAAAGCGUUUGAUUUGCAAUCAAAAGAUGUAAGUAAUUACAAGUUUUC
rnacentral:tRNA from 1 species